UUCCUUCAUGAAAUGCGAAUAAAAGCUUCGGCCAAGCUCACUCUACUGCAUUCAAUGCUAAGAGCAUUAUAUAAGGAAGGUCAUAGAGUUCUUAUUUUCUCGCAGAUGACCAAACUUCUGGAUAUUCUUGAAGAUUAUUUAACUGUAGAGUUUGGGCCCAAAACAUAUGAGAGAGUAGACGGAUCUGUAUCUGUCUGUGAUCGUCAGGCAGCAAUUGCACGUUUCAACCAAGAUAAAAGCCGAUUCGUGUUCUUGUUAUCAACACGCUCAUGUGGCCUGGGAAUCAAUUUGGCAACUGCUGACACUGUCAUUAUUUAUGAUUCUGAUUUUAACCCACAUGCUGAUAUCCAAGCAAUGAACCGGGCACAUCGAAUUGGACAAUCUAAUAGACUUUUGGUGUAUCGACUUGUUGUUUGUGCCAGUGUUGAAGAGCGCAUCUUGCAGCUUGCUAAAAAGAAACUGAUGCUUGAUCAGCUUUUUGUGAAUAAGUCUGGAUCUCAGAAGGAAGUGGAAGAUAUUCUACGAUGGGGAACAGAGGAACUUUUUAGUGAUUCUUUUACCAUGAAUGGGAAAGAUACUGGUGAAAGUAAUAGCAACAAAGAUGAGGCAGUAAUUGAUAUAGAGCAAAAGCUGAGGAAAAGGGGUGGUGGCCUUGGGGAUGUGUACAAGGAUAAAUGUACAGAUGGUGGCAACAAGAUUGUCUGGGAUGAAAACGCAAUUGCAAAAUUGCUUGACCGUUCAAACCUGCAGUCUGGGAUAGCUGAUGUUACUGAAAUGGA
rnacentral:misc_RNA from 1 species